ACUUGCCUUUGCGAGGGGGAUAACAGUUGGAAACGACUGCUAAUACCGCAUAAUGUCUUCGGACCAAACGGGGCUUCGGCUCCGGCGCAAAGAGAGGCCCAAGUGAGAUUAGCUAGUUGGUAAGGUAACGGCUUACCAAGGCGACGAUCUCUAGCUGUUCUGAGAGGAAGAUCAGCCACACUGGGACUGAGACACGGCCCAGACUCCUACGGGAGGCAGCAGUGGGGAAUAUUGCACAAUGGGGGAAACCCUGAUGCAGCCAUGCCGCGUGUGUGAAGAAGGCCUUCGGGUUGUAAAGCACUUUCAGUUGUGAGGAAAAGUUAGUAGUUAAUACCUGCUAGCCGUGACGUUAACAACAGAAGAAGCACCGGCUAACUCCGUGCCAGCAGCCGCGGUAAUACGGAGGGUGCGAGCGUUAAUCGGAAUUACUGGGCGUAAAGCGCACGCAGGCGGUUUGUUAAGCUAGAUGUGAAAGCCCCGGGCUCAACCUGGGAUGGUCAUUUAGAACUGGCAGACUAGAGUCUUGGAGAGGGGAGUGGAAUUCCAGGUGUAGCGGUGAAAUGCGUAGAUAUCUGGAGGAACAUCAGUGGCGAAGGCGACUCCCUGGCCAAAGACUGACGCUCAUGUGCGAAAGUGUGGGUAGCGAACAGGAUUAGAUACCCUGGUAGUCCACACCGUAAACGCUGUCUACUAGCUGUGUGUGUCUUUAAGCGUGCGUAGCGAAGCUAACGCGCUA
rnacentral:rRNA from 1 species